CGCGUGCGCGUCGCGCCAUUUGCGGGAGCGUGGGUAGCCAUGCCCUCGAAAGCACCUUGGUCCAAUCCCAUCGCCCCGCACGCCACAACCCCUCCCUCCUUCUUCGAUCUCUCUCCCUCCUCAGCCGCCACAAACCCUAGCCCCCUUUCCUACGAUCCAGCUGUCGCUACCCCUCCUCCAUCCGACCUCCGUCGUCAGCCGCCGCCGCCGCUACGGCUCCUCCGUCCACCGACUCCGUCCGUGCAGGUGGCCAGUUUCCUUCCGCCCCGACCUUCUCCACUGUCUCCCCAGUUCACCCCCACCCCUUGCUGCCCGAGGUGCCCAUCUUUCCAGGUCAUGAGGAAGCCGCGUGAGGAUGUCUCCACGGUAAUCGGGGAACCACCACGGCGUGCCGCCGGGGGAAGCCUUGGAUCCAGGGGGCCUCCCCGGGGGCGCAGAGGAGGGGGUGUGGAGGCGUGAGGCCAGAAGGAGUUUGGAAUCGCUGGAGGAGCACAGCCCGCACGGGGGCUGGUCAUCGCCAGAGCAGAGGGGAGGAGGUCGAUGCAGGGGACGCCAUGUAUGGUCGGGGCGCUGGAUCUGCCUUUCCCCAUGCCACCGCUGUCCUACGUCAACGAUGCCGCCAUGGCCUUCUCGCCACUGACCUCUUUCCACGAAUUUUUGCCUUCAACGCUAAGGGACGGUCUGUAGGCUAGCGGUAGUGGAAUGGAAUCCCCUUGUCCAGUACCAGCCGGUGAAGAUGGAAGGAAGCCACGGAACCUCAAGGCUUAGGAACUUUUUGGGAUAACUGAGUUGGUCAAUGUCAAAAAUGGAAAAGGAGAAGGAAAUCACCAUUCGAUUUAUGAUUGGGCGUAGGUUGGAGGCAUUGGUGUGAAGGUGUCGUGAGUUAUCUGCAAGGGCAUUGUUGUGACGUGCUCCUCCAUAUCUCCUGCGAGUUCUUGGUGUGGCGAUCAUGGCUCUAGAUAGCAGCGCUUCAAGGUCACUUAAGCCUGAAUGAGUUAUCAAGUCUACUGGAACCAUUCAUGUUUAGGCUUGUUCAUUGGUUUUCGAACAGACACUCCCUUAAGUAUGUUUGAUCACAAUUAAAAGGAGGAAGUCAGAUUAUUGCAAUGUGUGGCUGCACGUAAAGUUGUCAAGAUGAUCUGGUGCUUGCUCGAGCCGUUGAUUACUGCUGCUUUGCUAAGGUUCAAGGUAACCCCUUUACCAUGAUGACUACCAGAGUGACCUUCGAUGUGUAUAGAUGGUGAUGCAUAUGGGGACAGACAAGAACUAGCGAACUUAAUAUCAGAUUCCCUCAACUAUGAAUUCUUUAAUUAUUGAAGGCUUUCAUAUUCAUAUCAAUACAAGGCGGAAUAUGAUGCAGGUGAAUGCCUUUAUUUUGUUUCUUUAGGAUCUUCUCCUCUACUUAAUGAUAGAUGCAGUGUAUAGGGUCAUCGAGUCAGUUUGAAUGCUUUCGUGACAACCGGUAUAGCACUGAAUCAGGCAAGGUGUGAAUAAGUGUGCUUAAAUGCUUGCUUUGUUUAUGUGUUUACUGCUUACUGUGUUGUACAAGUUCCACUUUUGAAUCUGCCCUCUUUUAGGCAUGUGUAUUUCCCACAAAUAUGUUGGUAAAUGUGUGCACUACAUAGUUUUCAGGCCAACUGGAUUACGAGAGCCUCCUCCCUCUGCCCCUCCUCACUAAGGAGGUCAGAUUGAUCUAGCAUCUUUUCCCCUAAUUUAGGGGUCCUCCCAUGGCCCCUCCUCUACUCGGCUCUCCUCUGUCCUAUUUCUCCUCUAUCAAAAAUACGAAAACUACCACGAGAAAUAAGUGCUGCUUGCUGCUCUUCACUGCUAAAUAUCACGAUGAAGUAUAUCAAGUGACAUCGUCCCAGAAGAAGAGAUGAGCAGUCAAUAUACAAAGAAAAAAAUCAGGGCCAAUAUUUGCAUGAAUACUAAUUCUGGCAACAUGUUAAUGAUUCAUAAAUAAUCUCCCGUUUCCUCUAACCUAUGUAUGUCUUUCUAUAUUAAUUCAUAAAAAUGAAUCAGCAUAGUUCAUAUUUGAUUUCAAGAUAAAGAAAUUCGAAAGAUGUAUAAGAGGUGAAUCAAAUGACAUUAUUUCAAAGUUGUAUAACAUAUAUCAUCACUACUAGAAAACAUUUUGUAGGAGGCUACAUUUAAUCUUCUGUACUAAAUUCUUCAUUGCCUUCCCAUGAUGGUUGGAGAGGGCAGGCCUGGCGCAGUGGUGAAGUCCUCCCCACUUGUGCCAAGAGGUCCUGGGUUCGAACCAGCCUCUCUGCAUUGCACUUCGCAGGGGUAAGACUAGGUUCCUAUAAUCCCUCCCCAGACCCCACCUUGUGUGGGAGCUUCUAUGCACUGGGUCUGUCCUUCCCAUGAUGGUUGGAGUACAAUUCUCACAGGAGGUCCCGUUAAUGUUAUAUUUAGAGGGUGUCAAGUUUAGACCAUCGUGCCUACGGUAACAUUUCAUAAAAUCCACGCUAAUCUUAUGUGGGGCUCAAGUCGGAUAUCUAGGGUAGUUCUAUUAAUUCCUGAAUGGUUGCUCGGGUACCAAUGAAUUUAUUUAUUUAUUUUUCUUCUUCUAGCUGUUGUCAAAUACUUAAACAUUUCCCUUUCAUACUAUUUUAGAUUUAAAAUGAGAGUUGCCAUUCUCCAACAAGUAUAGUCGUGGGUUAGUUGUUGACAGCUCAAGUGUAGUGUACAUCAGUUACACAUGAAUAGAUUGCUUUUUAGUGUAUUGCACCAUUUAAAAGGAAAACUUAUUACACUAAUGUCAUUCUCCAGUAAGCAUAGUUGGAUCCAACCUGAUGUUGUUAAAUGCUCAAGUACUUUCCUUUCAUAUUAUCAAUUACACCUGACAGGUUGCUUAAGAAGGUGCAGUACACUACAUCGCUACACUCUAUAGUAAUGGAUUGCUGGAGAAGGGUGCAGUACACUGAUGCCAUACUGUGUUACACUGGUGCCAUUUCCAAGCUAGUUCAAAGCCAUUAUUAUUCCUCAGAUGGCGCAAUGGAAUAUGGCCAUUUAUAUUUCUUAUUUGUUAACAGUGUUGUGUACUGUAGAUGAAUUAUUGAUUAAACCUGAAUGUCGCUGACUCGACAGGACAGUGGUAGCGACAUGUUUAACACCAGGUGUUGCAGCUACUCUCUGAUUACAAAGGAUGUUUAGAAUCAGAACAAAACUAGGUAUUGUGUCUUGUGGCAUGCUGAGACUUUCAAGAAAGAGGUCCUUAUCAGAGAAGCAUUCUCUUCUUACAACUGAUGUAUGAUAUGAUUCAGUCCAAUCGUUAUUUCUCUGGGGCAUCGACAAUGUAAGCAUGUUCGAUUCAUUACCAUAUGUUUUCCUCU